rnacentral:rRNA from 1 species
UACGAAGGGGGCUAGCGUUGUUCGGAAUUACUGGGCGUAAAGCGCACGUAGGCGGACAUUUAAGUCAGGGGUGAGAUCCCGGAGCUCAACUCCGGAACUGCCUUUGAUACUGGGUGUCUUGAGUGUGGAAGAGGUGAGUGGAAUUCCGAGUGUAGAGGUGAAAUUCGUAGAUAUUCGGAGGAACACCAGUGGCGAAGGCGGCUCACUGGUCCAUUACUGACGCUGAGGUGCGAAAGCGUGGGGAGCAAACAGG